rnacentral:rRNA from 1 species
AUUGAACGCUAGCGGGAUGCUUUACACAUGCAAGUCGAACGGCAGCGCGGACUUCGGUCUGGCGGCGAGUGGCGAACGGGUGAGUAAUGUAUCGGAACGUGCCCAGUAGCGGGGGAUAACUACGCGAAAGCGUAGCUAAUACCGCAUACGCCCUACGGGGGAAAGCAGGGGAUCGUAAGACCUUGCACUAUUGGAGCGGCCGAUAUCGGAUUAGCUAGUUGGUGAGGUAACGGCUCACCAAGGCGACGAUCCGUAGCUGGUUUGAGAGGACGACCAGCCACACUGGGACUGAGACACGGCCCAGACUCCUACGGGAGGCAGCAGUGGGGAAUUUUGGACCAUGGGGGCAACCCUGAUCCAGCCAUCCCGCGUGUGCGAUGAAGGCCUUCGGGUUGUAAAGCACUUUUGGCAGGAAAGAAACGUCGCGGGCUAAUACCCCGUGGAACUGACGGUACCUGCAGAAUAAGCACCGGCUAACUACGUG